rnacentral:rRNA from 1 species
AGCGAACGCUAGCGGCGGGCCUAACACAUGCAAGUCGAGCGGGGGAGCAAUCCCCAGCGGCGGACGGGUGAGUAACACGUAGGUUAUGUGCCCUUUGGUGGGGAAUAACCGUGGGAAACCAUGGCUAAUUCCGCAUAUCGAGCGAAAUCUUGAAAGCCUUCGGGCGCCAAAAGGAGCAACCUGCGGCCCAUUAGCUUGUUGGUAGGGUAACGGCCUACCAAGGCGAUGAUGGGUAGCUGGUCUGAGAGGAUGAUCAGCCACACUGGAACUGAGACACGGUCCAGACUCCUACGGGAGGCAGCAGUAAGGAAUAUUGGGCAAUGGAGGCAACUCUGACCCAGCCAUGCCGCGUGAAGGAUGACGGCCCUAUGGGUUGUAACUUCUUUAUACGGGAAUAAACCGGGUACGUGUACCGGCUGAAUGUACCGUAAGAAUAAGGAUCGGCUAACUCCGUGCCAGCAGCCGCGGUAAU